AGCAGAGGAGGGAGGACGAGGAGCAUGACGGCGGCGGCGGCGGGGAGCAGCAGUAGCAGGCCAAGGCGCCAAGCAGCAGCGAGCCCCGACAUCUCCGCCACCGCGCAGCACAACGCCGAGCUCGCUGAGCUCCAUCGCGUCCUCUCCUCCCGCCGGAUUCGCCGCUCACGGCCACCAUCGCUCACCCGUGACCUUGCCCGUGGUUAGGGUUUCGGGUGUUCGUCACCGGUGGCCAUGGAGCUGCGCCUCCUCUCUACAUCUGUAGCAGAGGCGAGGAGCGGGGACGAGCCUCCUCCCAUUUACUCUCUCUGUGUGUGUUCAUCCGCUCGAGAACUGGAUCCCGAGGGACAGAGGUGCAACCCUGCAGAGCCGCUUGAUCCCAAAAUUAAAGAUGUGAUUGGCCUGGCAGCAGCUCGGGCCUGCUGAAGAAUGAAGACACAACAACAGGGGGAGGGAGAUUGGAAUGCUUCAGGAUCCUGAAAUAUGAUGUUAAACCUGAGCAUUUAUCCAAACAAGGUUAAGGUCCUGAAAAGUUACAUGGAAGUGGUUAUUUCCAGUCCUUUGUGGUUAUCAUUGGUGUUUCCUGGUUCAGAGCACCUCCAUGACGGCACCCAACAGUCUCGGAGCCAAGGUGAUAAGAGCAGGGAUGGACUCAUUAGCAUCAGCCAUGUGAAGAUGAUUGGAAAGUCUACUGGAGUAAUCCUUCUUCAUGGUAUACGUUGCCCUGACUUCCAGCUCCUCAUGUGAGGAGGAGGAGGGCAGACAGGGGAUGUGCCGCUGUAGGAGGUGGUGCAGGGCCGGGGGACCUCAUACUCGGCUCCCUCAUCCCCUGCGCGCCUCUUCUACUUCCUCCAGCUCUACAUCAAGCGCAACCGCCUGCCCCCAGGGUCCCCCAUGGCCGCAGCCGCUCCCUCUCGCGGGCCUCUCCCCGCGCGCGCUCCUGCCCCUCUCCGCCCGCGACGCCGUCGUCCGCGCCUGCGACGAGGACUCCCUCUACUACGCCGGCCUCCGCCGCUGCGCCGAUGACCCCUACCACCCUGCCUCCAACCCCGCCGGCGUCAUCCCGCUAGGCCUCACCGAGAACACCUAUCCCUGGAUUUGGUGAGGGAAUGGAUGGAGGAGCACCAGGAGAGGGACCUCACCAUCAGCGGCUCACCACGUACCAGCCAUAUGACAGGAUACUUGCCUCGAAGAUGUCACUAUGGCUGAGCAGGCAUCAAGUCAAGCAAAGGGGAUUUUAUGGUUGCAGCCGAGACCAGUGCUUAGAAGAAAUUGACAGGACAGAUGAAGUAUCCAUAUACGAGAUAAAACCAGUGACAAUCCAUCUAAUACCAUGGGUCCACAUGAUGAGAAGGAUAUUUGCAUACCAGGGAAAGCAUCACAUAAGAGGUCAUUUUUCUCAGUUUCAUAGGGGACGAAAGUUACUCUGUCUGCACCAUGUCAGGAGGGUGCUUUUGGAUGUCGACUUCAUUUAUUUCAUAUGUAAGAGAUGUGUAGCAGAGACGUUCAAGCGGAAAAUGGCAAUUACUAACUACUAAGUAAACAAUCCAAAUGAUGUGCAUCAUGUAAUGAAGGUAAAGCUCUCUAUUUCCCAGAUUAGGGAACAGGGGAACUUAAGCUUAAGUUAGUUUUGCUCAUCACCUGAUCCUGCCACCGCGGCCCAUGGAGGCACUGUUGCAGGGGCCACAGCUGCCACCAUUCCUGUCCAAGACGUACGAUCUCGAAGGCGAGCCGCAGCUGGACGGGGUCAUCUCCUGGGGUCCUUCGUUGUGUGGAAUUCUUCCACCUUCGACCGGGACGUGCUCCCGCACAACUUCAAGCACAAGAACUUCUCCAGCUUCGUCAGCCAGCUCAACACCUACCGGAAUCGUGGUCUGUAAUGCCAAUUUGGCCUUUCCCGAAAGAACUGGUUUAUCUUCAUCACUGAAAUAAUCCUGAUUCCUAAGGAGUUGAUCCUGUGAUGGCAAGCUUAACCAUUUUCUGGGAUGCGACGCUGCUCUCGCUCAAAUGUGAAUGAUUAUCUUUUGAGAUAUAUAGGAUUGCUCUAAGAUGCUUUAUGGGCCCCGAGUGCCGGAAAGAUGUGUAGUUUAUAGAUUGGAGAGAUUCUUUUCAAACUCAACCUGUGUCAUGAGCUACUUGGUUACUUCUCAUUACUUGGAGGAUGCAUGGAUUGGAGAGAUUAUGGAUGAGGACUGAAUUAUGUGUAGCUAUGAUAUCUUUUAAUUUUGGUCAUAUGUAUCUUACAAGGAUUCCAGUAUAUAUUUUGGUCACCUGUAUCAGAAUAAGGAUGCACAUUUAAUUAUUACAACCUCCAAGCCCAUCAUUUGGAAUUUUAUGCAGUUUCUUCUGAUGCAAAUAUUUAGUUCAUUGUGUAAUUCUAUUAGAUCAUCAUGGAUGAGGCCUGAAUAAUGUAUAGACAUGAUGGAUGCUCUUAUUCCUUAUGACUCAUCAUCAAAACUGACUAUGGUGUGGACUGUGGAUAACACUUUUAUCAUGGGCCACUUACUGGUUUCUA